ACCUUUCAUCAUCCACCUUAAUCCUUAAUUGUAACCAGCUUGCUAAGCUAAAUCGUAAAGUUUGCAUGUGAAUUGGGUAUUACACUGAUUUACAUGCAGAAACACAGUUCCGUACAUGCGAUAGAUCAACAAGUAUAUCCUAAAAAUUAUGCAAACUAACCAAAAAUUGAAGCAACUAAUUAAUUUUAUUGAGAUUGUAAUAUUGUUAACAAGAAAUUGAAAUCUAUCAAAUUAUCUGAGAAUUAAUUUGAUUAAUCUUCAAGUUAAGAGUCGCGCCAAAUCAAUCCUAACCAGCUGACCCUUAGUCACAGUUAUACAUGAAAGGUUGCUUGCCAGUUAUUAUAUUUUUCACUCCAUUUUUCUCGUUAUUAUGAUAUUAAUUUUUAUCAUUGUUUUCAAUUGUCAUUAUCAACUGUCAAUCAAUCUACUCUUAAAACCUUUGGAUAAUGAAAGUAAAUUAUUAAUUAACCUUCAAUCAAGUCCAUCCAGUCAACUUUGAACCUUGUUCAAGUGCAAACCUUUUCAAGCUUGUCAAUUGGUUGACACCAUUCACCUAAAAAUGAUCAGUGAAAAUCAUAAUCAAAGUAUAAUAAUGAAUAAUUAUAAUCAUUACCUAUUUAGUGUAAAAUUCAGGAUUACUUAAAAUUUAAUGACAGACUCGGAUUACAAUUUGGAUUACGAUUUGGAUCACCGUUUUGAUCACAAAUGGGAUUGUGGUGAGAAAUGCCAUAAUGAAAAUUUCACUCUCCAAUCAAAUUAAAACAAUCAAAGGGAGAAAAGAUGGAUGGAAAUCCGUAAAUUGUGCUGUUUCCCUCACCAACAAUUGAACAUUAACAACAAUACAUAAACAAGUUAUCAAGUUUACGGGAAACAAUUGCUUUACAUCCAAUCCUUAAAUUCACAAGUAAUACUCAUCAACCAGCCACCAUCAUUAUAAUUUAAUACUUUCACUUUUAUUGUAGACAACAAUCAACAAAUGUACUCCUUGAAAGGAAAUGGCAAUUGUCCACAUCAAGAGCAAUUUAUUUGAUUUGUAGCCCUACAAUGGUCAACAAUAGCAAUAACAUUACUGUUUUUUGUGCUCAAAAUGUUUACCUUUUUUCAAUCAAUUUGUUGUAAAUGCCAUUUGCGUUUUUUAAUCACUUCUGAUUUUUACAUUAUCUUUAUUAAUUACAAUCACAUGUGAACUCUUUUCCUCAAAUACAAACAUUCUUGCUAUUCGUUAAUCACUUUUCUGUCAUCUUUUUACAUCUCCUGAUUAACUUUAAUUCUUCCUUGAUUCAAUUCCAGUCUUGUCUGAUUUCUCAUCAUUUUACCUUCACUUUUAAUCCUUACUUUUUCAUAAUCACACUUUUCCUUAUUUCACUUGAUUCACCUGAUUUUUUGAGAUUUUUUUCAUGUGAACCUCAGUACAAUUGAAGUAAAUCAUUUGCAAAUAGUAUUGUAAA